UGUGAUACGUUUAGCCUAGUGGUUAGAGCGUCUGCCUCUGAUGAGGACGGUCGUGGGUUCGAUCCCCGGCCUAGUCAUAC